rnacentral:tmRNA from 1 species
GGGGGUGCACCGGUUUCGACGAAUGCGGGAAAGCUCGUAUUGCUGGUAAGGUCGCGUUUCCUUAUAAAAGCGCAAAAAACUAUAACUGCCAAACGUGAAGAGGACUACGAGUCCGAAAACGAACAGUUAGCUCUUGCAGCGUAAGCUGCAGCUUAAAAGAGCCGGGAGCCUGACCACGCCGCUCUGAGCGGUCAGGAGCUUCUGUUACAAACCAGAGCUUGCCGCGUGCAGUGUCCGAUAUGCACACGGGACAUGUUAUCGGAAUACGGAGCGAAUACUUGCUGUGCUGUUAAACGCUCUCGACAAUUACCUCGCACAGCUACACCUGUAGAUAUACCUGUUUUACGCACUCGGACGGGGGUUCGAUUCCCCCCAUCUCCAACG